UACGUAGGGUGCAAGCGUUGUCCGGAAUUAUUGGGCGUAAAGAGCUCGUAGGCGCCUGUCGCGUCGGCUGUGAAAACCUGGGGCUCAACCCCGGGCCUGCAGCCGAUACGGGCAGGCUAGAAUUCGGUAGGGGAGACUGGAAUUCCUGGUGUAGCGGUGAAAUGCGCAGAUAUCAGGAGGAACACCGAUGGCGAAGGCAGGUCUCUGGGCCACUACUGACGCUGAGAAGCGAAAGCAUGGGGAGCGAACAGG
rnacentral:rRNA from 1 species